UGCCUCAGUAACGGCGAGUGAAGCGGCAACAGCUCAAAUUUGAAAUCUGGCCUCUCGGGGUCCGAGUUGUAAUUUGUAGAGGAUGUUUCGGGUACCGCCCCGGUCUAAAUUUCUUGGAACAGAAUGUCAGAGAGGGUGAGAAUCCCGUCUUGGACCGGCGGUAGGGCCCAUGUGAAACUCCUUCGACGAGUCGAGUUGUUUGGGAAUGCAGCUCUAAAUGGGUGGUAAAUUUCAUCUAAAGCUAAAUAUUGGCCAGAGACCGAUAGCGCACAAGUAGAGUGAUCGAAAGAUGAAAAGCACUUUGAAAAGAGAGUUAAACAGUAUGUGAAAUUGUUGAAAGGGAAGCGCUGGCAAUCAGACUUGGGCGCGGCGGUUCCCCCUGCCUUCUGGCUGGGCUACUCCGCCGCGAACAGGCCAACAUCGGUUCUGGGGGCCGGUUAAAGGCUCUGGGAAUGUACCUACCCUCCGGGCGUAGACUUAUAGCCCAGAGUGUCAUGCGGCCUCCCGGGACCGAGGAACGCGCUUCGGCUCGGAUGUUGGCGUAAUGGUUGUCAGCGACCCGUCUUGAA
rnacentral:rRNA from 1 species